UACGUAGGUGGCAAGCGUUGUCCGGAUUUAUUGGGUUUAAAGGGUGCGUAGGCGGUUUUGUAAGUCAGUGGUGAAAUACUCUAGCUUAACUAGAGGGGUGCCAAUGAUACUGCGGAACUUGAGUACAGAUGAGGUAGGCGGAAUUGACAGUGUAGCGGUGAAAUGCAUAGAUAUCGUCAAGAACACCGAUAGCGAAGGCAGCUUACUGGGCUGUAACUGACGCUGAUGCACGAAAGUGUGGGGAUCAAACAGG
rnacentral:rRNA from 1 species